GAAGUGUUUUCGGUUUACAUUCAAUUCGUCUGUGGAGCUUUUGUGACUUUACAUCGAUCAAAUGAAAGCUAAAGGACCUGCUAUUACAUUGAGAGCAUCCUGAGCAGAUGCAGUGUGAUAUGGUAGCAUGAUAGAAAUGAACUGCAAGAGCCUGUAGAGAGGGAUAAAGUCUACUGAGAGGAACACCACUGCCUUCCUUUUCACAUUUGACAAACUAACGCACCAAAAUUAACCAGAGUUUUGUUAGGUAGCUUUAAAUUUGAGCUUGGGGCUUGUGUCAGACUGGUCUAUCAUUGUAUCUAUUCCAGAGCAAGAUUUCUACUGCAAACUAAAUAAAAAUUAAAUUGCAUAAAAAAAAACAUUUGUUUACUAGCUUAAAACAACAUAACAUAUAACAAAUAACACGUUUUCUAAUUGUAACACAAUUUUAAGUUAAAGUUAAGCAUCAGGGCCAUAAUUUGUAUUUUUCAUUAGUAACAGCUUAUGUUUUGUAGCUCAACUUCUGACAGUUUUGGAUGCUGGUAGGUGAUAAUCUGGUCAUACAGAUUUACAAUGUUAAUGUUAAUCUGAGAAUGGUGAUUAUUUGUAAUUAUUUCUCUUGAUUCUUUGUAGACCACUGCAUUGUAUUUCAUAUCAUAUCAGCUGCAUAUGAAGAUGCAUAAAUUGGAUUGACAUUAAACAUCUUGUUCAAAGAU